rnacentral:lncRNA from 1 species
UGAUUCCAUGAUUCUAUGAUUCUAUGAUUCUAUGAUUCUAUGAAAUGGAAGUAGGUUUGGGUUUUGAGUUGUUUUUUUUAUGUUUUGUUUUGGGGUUUUUUUUUUGGAUUUACAUUCAUACAGGCCAAGCAAAGCUGCUGUCUGGUUAAGAACACACAAACCAGGAUGGGUCACAGAACGACUGCCAUCAACUCACGAUGUUGAAAUGCAGUCUGGGUGAUGACAACAGCAAGAUUUCUGAUGCAGUGAAAUGGAACGCUCUCUGUGCUAUUGUUCAGCUCUUGCAAGAGUGCUACCUGCACUGCAGUUCUGCAAAUUAAUCUUGUGGAUGCUCACACACAUCGGGGCAGAGAAAAGCCCGCAGCACAGACAGCUUGAGCCACUGCUGCUGGAAGGGAGAAGGGUGUGCUGAAAGCAUGGGAGAGAAUCCCAUCCAUAAGAAAUUAAUCAACCCAACAAACACCCUCCUCCUUCAUGACUGUAAAGGGAUUAUUACAGCCAGUGCAAACCAAAAUUCAACUCCUUUCCUCACUGGCGCUGCUCAUUGGCUUUCCAGGUAUGAGGUGCCUCACUGUGCUGCUCUGCUGGGAGCAGGAGGUCUCAGCCAAGGACAGGGCUCUGUGCCAACGUCACAACCAUAUUUGUGCCAAAUGAGACCAGAGGAGGGAUGGUCUGAAGAGGGACGGGUGGCAAAGGAGGAGUCCCGAGAGGUCCAACCCUUCAAGAGGAGGGAGAAAUAUCAAGUGACAAACAGAGAAGCAAAGAGCUGAAGAGGCGGGUGAUGAAUUUGGGUGAAAACCACAGCAACCAUCGCUCUCUGCAUGUCAGACACUCUCAAGAGCCAGUAUUGCAAGUCUGGAGUAUGUGUGAAAAUGGGAGAGAUUGCAGACAGCAAGUGGCAGACGAGCUGCAGCCUCCGUCCUGCCCAUUGCUGUGGGUCUGCAGGAUGGGGCUGUCCUCAGCAGCAUGUCUUCUGGAGUUGUGCCUACUGGAAAAUGCAAGCUCCCCGUGCUGGGACUCUCCUCCUUUUCUUGGUGAGCUGUUAGAAAGCACAUCUUCCUUGCCAGUUCUCUAUUAAUCAUAUUACUCCCCGCUUUCUCAUCUGUGCGACCCCUGCAUCACUUAUUUCUUGUUGGCAAUGCUUGUGUACUUUCCAGGCACUAAAUAGAAAAGAGUGCUCU